ACAUGAGAUGACCUUGCCCACAACACCGAAGAUGUGAAAAAGAUGAAAAACCAGGAAGAAUACGGUGUGCCGAUCAAAAUGAUAUAUCUCGAGAAGGACAUGAUGAUU
ensembl:snoRNA C56G2.20 ncRNA